AAUUCUCAAUAAAAUAUGAACAUGUGGUUGAUACCUCAUCAUCGUUAUUCAAAUAAUUGGCAACAAGAGGGAGAUCCAAGGCAACCACAUUUUAAACACAAUGUCAAGUGAAAUAUUAGCUUGUUUUAAUACAAUUAUUUUCAAUAAAAAUAUGAAUAUGCGGUUUACUCUGAUCAAGUACAUUAAUAAUACCUCAUGAUUAUUCAAAUUGUUGGCAAGGACAACAAGGAGGAGUUCCAAAGCAACCAUGUCAAGUAAACCAUUAGCUUACUCCAAACCAUAUAGUUGAAACAAAUUAAAGACAUGUGGCUGAUACCUCAUCAUCGUUAUUCAAAU
rnacentral:lncRNA from 1 species